AUCCAAUCUUCCGAGGCGGGAGGAGAGAGCCCAGUCGGCGGGAGGGGCGCUGCGACGCACGGGAGGCCAACGGCGAGGGCCCAGCGAAGAGUGCCUCCAUGGCUCGAGGACCCGACCUCGCCGGUGCAGGCGGACGCCGGCGAUUGAAUGGAGCGCCGCCGCCGGGGAAGGUCGACUCUGCGCUCGGAUCCCAGGGUGGACGAGAUGCGGGAUGGGAGGAGGGGUGCGACGCUUGAGGGAGUGGGGGAGACGCGGGAGGCGGCGGAAAGAGGAGAGUGGCGGGCGGCUAGAUCUUCUUCACAGGUGGCUGGCUUUUAUACAUAUGUACGUGAAAUUACUAAGAUGCCCUUGGCGGGGCACGAAAAUUACAGGCGGUGGCAGCAGCGUUUAUAGAGCGACGUGGAGGCCAGGGUUCUGCCUAGAGUCUAGGAGGGUUUAUAUGUUCAAUGUCACUAGUCGGCAAUAUGUGCACCUGCAUGGGCUAGCACUUUGGAUAUACAUUGUAUGCCUAAAAUUGUGCACAUUAGAAAUGUCAUGGCAAAAUUAGAACACACUCUUUGACAUAUCAUUAGUGAAUGCAUGUUACUGUUUUUCAUGGUUAGAUUUCAAUGUUGAAAGAGUUAUAUUCCUUCUAUAUACCUAUUGUGCCAUGGCGCACUUGACCUCAGAUUGAUAGAAGUUACAUCCUCUA